rnacentral:lncRNA from 1 species
UGGAGCGAACGCGAAGAGAUAAAAAGAAAAAAACACAACUAAUAGAAUAUGCAAGGAGGAGAGACCCCAAAAUGAAUGCGUUUAAACGGGAAGACCAGCGGAGCAAUGUUUCCGAAACGGGGAUCUGCGCGAAUGUCUGUAUAUAGUGAACUUUGACACUACUAUUGAAACUGACACGUUUCUAUGGAGAUCGCUGCGCCUUAUAUGGUGCUCGUGUCAAGGAGCCAAGAGAGGGGCUGCUGGCAACUGAUAAUCAAAGGCGACUGACUGGCCAGAGCCCUGCAUUGAGGGGGAGAGAGAAAAUGGGAGGCUAAGGUUAGCCAAGCCUCUUUCUCUCCAUUGGUUAGAGAGCUCGUUCCUUGCUACCUACGACUGGGGGCUCUGACAAGCACAAUUUACAUUGAGCUCGCCCCGCGCUGCUAUUUACUUUGAAACCUGAUUAGUAUGGGCCGUCUAUUGUCACAAAAAAGGAAGAAACCCUGGAUAGAAUAGCCGAAAAGAAGGGUAAAAAGCAGGGACAAAGCUUUGCGCACGUGAAAUAAACAAGUGUGAGGCGAAUGGGACUCGCAUAGCAUUCCCCAAAGUUUUAAAUGGUGAUAUGUUCCAGAAGUUCCUAACGCAGCAGCCACCGACUCCAUUUAUUACGUUGAGGAAAGACCUUCAAGAUUGGGACGAGAGCUGGACGGAGAGAGAGAGCGAAUGA